rnacentral:lncRNA from 1 species
UGCUCCUAUUUGUUUGUACUGUUGAGUCUUUUCGUGACUUGCCCCUCUGUUUCCUCGGCAUUUACCAUAGGGAUGGUAAGGUAGUAUGCUAAGUUGCUCUGACUGAUGAGUUGGGCCUGUACUAUGUGGAUGGCGAAUGGGCUUUUAAAUGAGGGACUGUCAUCGUAUGCUUGGCCCUUGAUAGAUGUAGAGAAGCCCAGCGAUCGUCCUUUGGCCCCUUUACCGUCUCGCCGGUUAUUUCCUAACCGUCGAGAGGGUAAACUUCGAGAACAAUUAAUGAUCGUGCCGCUCCAAGACAAAACUGUUCAGUAUCAAUGCCUUGCCUCAUAAUUCCUUCUGUCUUUUGAAGAACUAGUUCUUGGUUGCUCUCAGUCUUCCUGCAAUUCCUUCUACGUCUCUUUUCUCAUCCUAUCGUGUUCUCAGGUACGCUUCCUUGUUCUUC